GGAUAGCUCAGUUGGUUAGAGCGUGGUGCUGAUAACGCCAAGGUUGCAGGUUGGAUUCCCGUCUGGGACA